rnacentral:tRNA from 1 species
AUUUAAAUAGUUUAAUUUUGAUAAAAUUUUGAUUUGUGAUUUCAAAGAUAUUUAAUAAAAUUUUAAAUU